CGGCUGCAGCGUCUUCCCCGCGCUCCCGAGCCUAUCCCUCGGGCGCCGGCCUGGGCUGUCCAGCGAGAGGGGCGGAGGGGCAGGGCCCCGGGCUAGGUCCAGGCCCGCAGCUGGCAUCAGGGGGGGCCUGGGUGGGAAGACCGGUUGGGGUGGGGGUGCACAGACCCGGGGAAUCUGAGACGCAAGGUUUCCGGCUCUUGGCCGCUAGUGAGGAAGGCUCGAGGCCGAUCCUGGCCCAAAGCAGGGCGCCGGGCCAUUGUCAGUCCUGGGAAGGGGGAUUGGGAGGAGCCCCAGAGGGGCGGCCAUUCCCUGGGGCGGCGUGGAAGGGAGGCAGCACCUCCAGGCGACAAGUAGAGCUGGGCCCUGGCGGGCUGCCACGGGGGUGUCUGGCAGUCUCUCCUGGGUCUAGGGCUGUUCCUCUGAGGUCACGAGGUGGUCCUUCGGGUGUGUCUGGGGUAAGCCCCUCUAGAAUCUGGGGGCGGCCUCCCGGGGGCCAUACUGCAUCACGUAGUGGAGUUGGGAAGAUAAAACCAGCACGUGUAAUGUAAUACAUGACAAUGGAAGAUUCUACGUAAUUAAGGGUUAACUCUGAAAUCAGAAGACAAGUUUUCCAAGACUUGGGAAGGUGGAGAGAUCAGAGAUCAGUGAGAGAACAAAGAAUCGGGGUCCAGAUGUCAGGGAUGGAAGUUGGAGAAAGAUGAGGCAGCAGCAGACACUUUCUCCUGUUGGCCUUAAAGAAGCAACCGCCUGUGCUGGGAGAGGGUCACUGGGCUGAGAUUGGUAGGUGGCUCUGGGAGCUGAGGGCCUAAACCUAUGACCACAAGGAACUGAAUUCAUCCCAAAGCCAGAGAGGUGGAAGACGACUCAGAAGAUGCAGAUGCCAAUGCCACAUCCUGGUGAGCAGCUGGAUUGCAGCUGGACCCGCUAAACCAAGCCCCAGACUCCUGACCAGUGGGAGCUGCAAGAUAAUGAAUAUAGUUUUCUUGUUGUUUUUUGUUUUCUUUUUAAUAAGCAAUAUGACUUUAUUUAGUUACUUUGGAAACAAAAACCCCCAAAUAAUGCCUGAACCCAAAGGUACAUAAAAAUGGCCCAAAAUAGUUUAAA
rnacentral:lncRNA from 1 species